rnacentral:pre_miRNA from 1 species
AGUGGAAUUGCUGGAUCAUAUGAUAACUCUAGGUUUAACAUUUUGAGGAACUGCCAAACUCUUUUCCAUAGUGAGUAUAGCAUUUUGGAUUUCUACCAGCAAU